ensembl:processed_transcript C230004F18Rik RIKEN cDNA C230004F18 gene
AGCUUCAGAGCUGAUGGAGAGACAGAGAGCACGCAACUGGAAAAAAUCAGACAUGGAAUUCAUGGAUUAACUGGUCACCAAUUGUUUCAGCAUUGCGUAUUGAAUAAUACAACCUUCUUCCACUGCCGUGAAAUGUCAACAGCUGCUCUCCCACUAGAUAGGGCGUAGCUUUCCACAGGUCGNNNNNNNNNNNNNNNNNNNNNNNNNNNNNNNUUUUUUGAUGAUUCUGACAUUCCAGUUGUGUAUUUAAAAGGAAGUACUGAAGGGGUUAAUGCAAAAUUUUUCUGUUCCUCAAGUAUUCAGAGAGUUAAAGCUGUGUGAAUUUGGUUCCUGGAAUUCUCUAGAGGGAAAUAAGAGGGAAAUGUAAGAAAUGCAUGAGAUGCAGAAAUGUUUUCAAUUAUGUUGCUGGAAGUAAUACGAUCUCGGGAUCUAAAGGAUGGAGGGUAAGUCUCAAUACAUGCUACCACUGUCAUUAUAUCUUCAAGACGUGAAAACAUCGCUGUGGUCCAUCUCUAUUUACUGCAAGCAGAAGGGUCAAGACAGAAAACAUAGAGGCUUUUAGUAGGAGGUAAGUUAAACAGUAACAGAAGUAUUUGACAGUUAAAAAUCACCUGCUGUUCUCUGUUUCACCCUUUACUCCAUCCCAGUUCCAUCCACCCACCCACCCCCUGCCUAUUGACUUCUAACCACAGUCACUGGUCUUUUCUGAUUUUGGACAGAAAAAGAGGGUAAGUAUCAGGUUGCUUUCUUUGCCUGCUGUUAUUGCAAGGGACUCUUUUGGCUCAUAGACACAGCUCCAGUCAUUUCCUGACUUGCCAUAUUAGGCUGUGAUUUGUUUAUGACUGGAGUCUGGUUUCCCUGGCAACAGAAGCUCACCAGGGCAUGCGCAUUGGCUCAUCUGCAGUGGCAGAAUGCGGCUGUGGGGCCUUGGGGAGGGAUCCCCCCCCCCCCCCCCCCCCCCCGCCUCCACACCCCCGCAGUGACUGGAAGAGGUAUUCUACAGACGUCAGUUUUUCUCUUCUUAAACUGCGACUGUUAACUGCAGAUAAGCAUAGCAUUUUUUUAAAUCCUCACAAUACUUCGAGAUUUCUCCCUUGUUUUCUCUCCUAGCACAGCCACAGUCAAUAGGUUCACCAGUGAUCAUGACGUUUUUCCAGUUAUUAUGGAAAAUAUCCCUAGGGUCCAAAGGGAUCCUUAUAGUGUGGCUAUAGAAAACAAAUGGCCUAGUUUCAAAGCUCCAUCUCUUUCUUGAUAGUUGUAUGAAAUUCUUUAGUCAUCCUGUGUCUCAGCUUCCUCAGCCAUAAAAUAUGAAUAAUAACAGCACAUUUAGAAAAAUGUUACAUAUUAAACAUUAAAAAGUAUUCCUUAUUGUUAUUUGUAGAUGUCAAAAAAUUAUGUGGCACAGACUGGUGCCUGCACUGUACAGCCAAUGCUGAACAAAUUACAGACACAGGCAUUUAACCCUACAGAAUGCAGACACCUCACAUAGCCCACAGAUGACCUACAGCAGAGUGUUGCACUCUCCUGAGGCUCAUUACUAUAUACCAUAGCAAAAGAAUAGCCCCUUAUCACAUGGACACCUUCCAUGACAUUAGGCUCUUUUAGAUUGCACACAAGUUCUCUUCAACACAGAGGCCAAGCUAAAGGACAUUUAUUAGAAACACAUGGUGCAUCUUACCUCACCAUGAAGACAUUGUCUGUAACAAAGAGAAAAUCUCAACACUAUAGCUCAUCUCCACAUCACACGGACUCUAUCCAGAACACACAAAAGUAUAUAGACUUAUUCUGUACAACAUAGAUUCUUCC